GUCCACGCUGUAAACGAUGAGCACUAGGUGUCGUGGGUAUUGACCCCCGCGGUGCCGUAGCUAACGCAUUAAGUGCUCCGCCUGGGGACUACGGCCGCAAGGUUAAAACUCAAAGGAAUUGACGGGGGCCCGCACAAGCGGUGGAGCAUGUGGUUCAAUUCGACGCAACGCGAAGAACCUUACCUGGGCUAGACAACGGAGGACAGCUCCAGAGAUGGGGUCUUCCCUUCGGGGACCUCCGGUUCAGGUGCUGCAUGGCUGUCGU
rnacentral:rRNA from 1 species